rnacentral:rRNA from 1 species
AUUGAACGCUGGCGGCAGGCCUAACACAUGCAAGUCGAACGAGUGGCGGACGGGUGAGUAAUGUCUGGGAAACUGCCUGAUGGAGGGGGAUAACUACUGGAAACGGUAGCUAAUACCGCAUACCAUCGGAUGUGCCCAGAUGGGAUUAGCUAGUAGGUGGGGUAACGGCUCACCUAGGCGACGAUACCUAGCUGGUCUGAGAGGAUGACCAGCCACACGGGAACUGAGACACGCUCAAGAAUCCUACGGGAGUCAGCAGUGGGUAAUAUUGCACAAUGGGCGCAAGCCUGAUGCAGCCAUGCCGCGUGUAUGAAGAAGGCCUUCGGGUUGUAAAGUACUUUCAGCGGGGAGGCGUUACCCGCAGAAGAAGCACCGGCUAACUCCGUGCCAGCAGCCGCGGUAAUAC